AUUGAACGCUGGCGGCAGGCCUAACACAUGCAAGUCGAGCGGAUGAAGGGAGCUUGCUCCUGGAUUCAGCGGCGGACGGGUGAGUAAUGCCUAGGAAUCUGCCUGGUAGUGGGGGAUAACGUCCGGAAACGGGCGCUAAUACCGCAUACGUCCUGAGGGAGAAAGUGGGGGAUCUUCGGACCUCACGCUAUCAGAUGAGCCUAGGUCGGAUUAGCUAGUUGGUGGGGCAAAGGCCUACCAAGGCGACGAUCCGUAACUGGUCUGAGAGGAUGAUCAGUCACACUGGAACUGAGACACGGUCCAGACUCCAACGGGAGGCAGCAGUGGGGAAUAUUGGACAAUGGGCGAAAGCCUGAUCCAGCCAUGCCGCGUGUGUGAAGAAGGUCUUCGGAUUGUAAAGCACUUUAAGUUGGGAGGAAGGGCAGUAAGUUAAUACCUUGCUGUUUUGACGUUACCAACAGAAUAAGCACCGGCUAACUUCGUG
rnacentral:rRNA from 1 species